ensembl:lncRNA
AAACUCAGGGAGUUAUCACCUGAAAGAGAUGUAAUCAAAUAUACAUUGUGGAAAUGAGAACAUUUGCUGCUUUUAUCAGAAUGAAAGAUUUAUUUCUAGUAGCAAGACAUUUCAACAUUGACCAUUAAAAUCAUUGUCACCUGUUGUUUUAUAAGUAAAGAAUAAAACACUUGGUGCAUGUUGUCAUUGGAAAAUAAUCAAUUAUGGGGUGACGGGUUGCACUCCCCAAAGUUGAUUAUUUUCCUAUAACAAACUGACAAUUCAAAUGUUUCAUUCAUUCACGAAUGAAUGAAACAUUUUUUUUUCUACAUUUAUAGUUACAUUAGAUGUUCUGGAACAUGCACAAAUCAAGUUAGUUCCUAUUAUCACAUAUAACAGCUUGAAAUAUUAUAGCCUGCCUACACUUGUCCCACUUGUCAUUUUACGGAGGAACUGAAAAGCACAAUGUACUCUCUCUUAAAGACUUUCUUAUUGCAGAAAACGUACUGACUGCUACAAAGCACAUGAGACUCCUUCCAUAAACAUACAAAAAUAAACAGCUCCUUAUAAAAAGCUUCAAAAUAUCAACAAUUAUACAUUUUUUAAAUCAGCUUAUUAUUGGGUUUAGAUUAUGUGGUGUGCCCACCAUACAAGUUCCUUCUAAAAGAGCUGUUGCUAUAGAAACUGUAACAUAUUUGAAUGAGUACAUUAAUAGACAUUUGUGCUUUGCCUUGCAGUCAGCACAACUGUCAGAGCUGCUGUUAUAGAAAAUACGCCUUCUGAGCAACCAGCGACGUGGUAGAAUUAUUGUUAUGGCUGUAAGGAAAUGAAGUCAAAGUUAUAAUAUAUAAUAUAUAAAGUAACGCUACACCUUGCUAAUGCAGCUGAUCGAUUUUGGUCUGAAAUGUCCUGCUUUUCUCAAAUCUUUGUGUAUGCUGCAUUUUUUCACUACCUUUACAUUGAUUACUCAAUUUAUAAAAUAUAUAUAUAUAAAAAAAGCCUUUUUCAUAGUUGCCAAGGUGACACCGGACUUUUUGUUCCCAG